GCCAGUAGUCAUAUGCUUGUCUCAAAGAUUAAGCCAUGCAUGUCUAAGUACAAGCCUCAGUAAGGUGAAACCGCGAAUGGCUCAUUAAAUCACACCUAAUGUACUGGAUAGUGACAGUUACUUGGAUAACUGCGGUAAUUCUGGAGCUAAUACAUGCGUACAAGCCCCGACUCACGGAGGGGUGCUUUUAUUAGACUAAAACCAAACGGCCUCGGCCGUCUCUUUGGUGAAUCUGAAUAACUUUGAGCGGAUCGAACGGCUUCACGCCGUCGACGUAUCCUUCCAAGGUGUGCCCUAUCAACUGUCGACUGUGGCAUAGACGCCCACAGUGGUUUUGACGGGUAACGGGGAAUUAGGGUUCGAUUCCGGAGAGGGAGCCUGAGAAACGGCUACCACUUCUAAGGAAGGCAGCAGGCACGCAAAUUACCCACUGGCCGAAGGCCGAGGUAGUGACGAAAAAUAACGAUACCAGACUCAUCCGAGGCCUGGUAAUCGGAAUGAGUACACUUUAAAUCCUUUAACGAGGAACCAUUGGAGGGCAAGUCAGGUG
rnacentral:rRNA from 1 species